UACGAAGGUUGCAAGCGUUACUCGGAAUUACUGGGCGUAAAGCGUGCGUAGGUGGUUUGUUAAGUCUGAUGUGAAAGCCCUGGGCUCAACCUGGGAAUUGCAUUGGAUACUGGCAGGCUAGAGUGCGGUAGAGGAUGGCGGAAUUCCAGGUGUAGCGGUGAAAUGCGUAGAUAUCUGGAGGAAUACCGGUGGCGAAGGCGGCAUCCUGGACCGGCAUUGACGCUGAGUGAGCGAAAGCCAGGGGAGCAAACGGG
rnacentral:rRNA from 1 species